CAUUGCUCAAAGUUGUUGAUUGCAACAGAUAUUCAACCACGGCCUUGUUUCAUCUAGGAAAGGGGGUCUUUUAGAGGUUACAUCUGGAUUUUUCUUUUCGUAGCUCAGUUUUUUGGUGAAUCUAUGUUGAGUGCCUCUAUUGGUUUCUUUAUUCCUCAGGGAAAGCAAGAUUCAUGGAGCCCAUAUGGACAAGGGCUGAAAGACAUGAAUUCAAACCUGGAUUUGAUCUCAGAAUUUCUCGAUUGUUUCUACAAACACUCUUCAACUUUCACAACCAAGGAGGUGAUUCACAUUAUUCAUUAUUAGUUUUGGACAGAGUUACAAUGGACUGGCCAUUGAAAGUUUUAGUUGUGCAUGGCACUUUAAUAGUUCCAGUCCCUGCAUGCUGGAAGUAGAUCAGGCCAUCAAAUCAAGUGGUUCUAUGAGGUUCGUCUUUCUCCCAAACAUGAUACAUGUUGUAGGGAACUGAACCAAUGCAC